UGUAGUGUCAUCCGGCAGUAUGAUCAUUCCUUACGUUAGCUGCUUUCUGUUGGUUCCGUGAACACGUGUACUAUAUUUCGGGCUUGGUUCAUAACGUAUGUUAAAAUUUUAAUUGUGUAUAUAUUGCAUUUGCGCAUGUAAAAAUACGUAAAUUUGUGUUUAAAAUAAGGCAACCAACAGCGACUGAAGACUGAAAUGGUAAAUUGGCAUAUAUUUAUAGAUGCUCCUUUGUGCCAAAUUUCAUACUACGCAGCAUGAGAUUGUAUUCUCGUUAUGCACAACGCGAAGCCUCUCUAUGACAAAUGAAGCAGAAGCUACUAUAUGAAAUUCUAGAUGUAGACCAACGAUCGCAAAUAUCGGUCGUGUACGAAAAAUCGAGGAAUGACAUCAUUUUGGUCCGCUGUAAUUGGCUAAUGAAAACGUUAUAUGAAUCCAUCCACAGGUCACUGAGUUAUUAGUGUUCAAAAUUAUGAAAAUAAAUCUGACGCGGCUAGUUUUCUAAUUUUUAAUUGACACCCGGCCCCGUAUGGUGAAAAGUAAGACAUUUCAAUGCCAAAACGCCGAUCGGAUGAAAGCAACGAAACAAUGUAACCAUCAACAAGUGGACGAGUGCAUCCUGAUGAUCCGGAACCAUCAACGAGCAGUCAUCAAUCUUUAAUUGAGCUAGAUAGUGUAACAUCGAUUCCAUCAUUGGAGUAACUUCCAUCAAGAGACCAGCAACAGGGCCUGUAUAACACAUGUACUGAAAAGUCCCGGUCCUAACAAAGACAACACGAUUUUUUGGUUCAAAAUUAACUUUAUUCAUUAACGUAAUCUCCAUCAAGAGCAACGCAAUCAUUCCAGCGCCUCUCUAACAUUUCCAUACCACCUUUGUAGAACGAUUUAUCUUUUGCCUCAAAAUAGGCUUCGUUUUCAGUGAUAACCUCUUCAUUCGUGCGAAAUUUCUUACCGGCGAUCAUUUUUUUCAGGUCUGCUAACUACCAAUAGUCGCUGGGAUCUGGAGAAUACGUUGGUUGUAGGAGAAAUUCGAAGUUCAAUUCAUGUACAUGCAUUUUUUUGAUUGACUUGUGACACGGUGCGUUGUCUUGAUGAAACAAAAUUUUAUUCUUUACCGGUUUCAUUGCGAUUUCAGCCUUCAAGCGCUCCAAUAACGCUAUGUAAUAUUCGAUGUUAAUGGUGUUUCCAUUACACCGGGCUGAUCGAUGCUUCUUGUUUCGGACUACGUUUUGGUUGUUUCUGUUUCUUAUAGGUUCGAAGAUUCAAACGUUCUUUAGCACGAAGAACAUUUGACUUCGAAUAUUAUCAGUAUAUCCAAUAAACUUUGAAUAUCUAACACUUGUGAAUUAUUUACAGCGGAAUCAAAGUGCGCCCAUACUUUCUGGGAUAGUCUUUAUGGUAUAAAAUUAGAGGGACCCUUCAAGGCUGUAUCGAAAGGCUUAUCAAAUGCUUGGUUUUGCCCCUUCCCAAGUAAUACCUAUGAAAAAAGAGCGAAUGGUACUUCUAAGUCACGCUCUGGAAUUUCCUAUGAACUUUACCUAAUAUACUUCAAUUGAAGUGAUGUAAACAAUUUGAAAACUUUAGAAAAGAAGCGUUUGAUUUUCCACAUUAAAAUCAUUGGGAAUAUUAUAAACGGAAUAAUGGUAUUGCAAACUUAAAGCAAUGUCGUCGUUGCCAAGGUUUCGGCCAUGGUACUAAAACCUGCCAUGUGGAUAUGCGGAGUUUGAAUUGUGGUAAAUCGCAUUCGAAAGACGUCUAUCCAAUGAAUGAAACUACUGAUAAAUUUUCAUGUUCUAAUUGUGAUGGAAAUCAUAAAUCCAAUUAUUUGAAAUGUCCUGUCAAGGAGAAAACUUUGAACGCUCGUUCGCUUAGACAACAAGUCAAAUCAACGACCUUAAAUUCAGUUCCACUUUAACUAUCGGGCCGAUCGGAUGCAAAUUCGUGUUUUUUCAAUAGUGCGGUGAAUUGUUUAUUCCGUUUUCAUGGUCAUUCCGUAUGCUAUUGCCUGCAUCAGUGCGUUCGAGUGAUAAUUCGAAUUAAUCCGUCCUCAAGGUCGAUUGUGAACUGUGUAAAGAAGCACUGUGUGUGGUACCGUUAGCCAGCGCCCAGCUGGGCGCUGCUGCUAUAUUGUCUACAAAUACAUUAGACAGUGUAGAGUGAAAAAACGUGUAAGGUUUCAUUGUACAGUGCAGAAAGAGACUGCAAAAAAGUGCUCUCUCCUCAAGGAGGUUUUUUGCACUUUAUUGAUCAGGAAUGUACACCGAUUGCCUAGAACCAUGCCUUGUCGGCCGUUCACCCUUUCAUUUCAAUAUUUACCCGCACGGACUUUUUCCGUGCUAUGACAAAAGGUUCAAAAUUGCCUGACCUCCCUCCAGAUGACGAAAUGGAAUCAUCUGAUGGCAAUAAAACUCGUAUAAAAAAUUAUCCCGAUGGGCUUGCACUUCCGGCCGGUUCGUACGCGGCUUACAUCCGGACCAAAUUGAAUGGAAAAAAAUGAGCAUCCUUAGAUUAUCUAAAGACUUGACCUCGCGAUAUUCUACAAUACAAAAGAUUGAAAAAGUACGCCCAGACAUGCUUAGGGUCUUGUUAGCCAGUGCAAAUCAAUCUCGACGUCAAUCUCGAAUAUCGUCACUAAAUACGUGGAAAACACUCAGUCUAAAACUCUAGCUGAAGAAAUAGAAGCAAACAAACCACUAAAACCAAAAGAAAAAAAGACACUUGCAACGAGCAUGACUGGCGCUUCAUCGGGAAUGAGAAAACGCAACAUUGCAUUACUUUUUCGACAAAAUUUCUAAUUUUGGCCUGCAUCAAGUAAACUCCGUAAAAAAUCGACAAAAUGCAUAUUUUGAUCUUCUUUUCACAAAUUGCACAGAAGAUUUUUGUGUGAGUGCAUCAAACCAGCCAUUAUGGAAAAAUGAAGCAUUUCACACCGCAAUUGAAUAUUCAUUAUUUUCACACAAUGCAUCUCUUCCCUACGAUUUGAAGUAUGAGGAAGUGCCGGAAUACAAUAAAAUUGACUUUGAAGAAGUCAAGCUUAGAGUAAAUAUAAUUAAUAGGCGAAAUGUUUUGAGUAUAGAAGAAAAUGCCGACGACGAAGUAGAAAAAUUUUAUCAAAUUGUAAACAAUAUAUUAGCAGAAACUUUACCGAAGAAAAGAAGAAGAAAAAAUUAUAAUAGCAAAUUACCUGUAUGGUUCAAUUCACAACUGAAACAUUUGAAAAAUAGAUAGCAAAAAGAACAUAAAAUUUACAAACAAGAAAAAAGUGACACUCAUCUUCAAAAUUACAUAGACCUCUGCAAUCAACUCAAAAUAACCAUAAAUGCAGCACAUGAAGAAAAUAACUAUACGAAAACUAAACUAAAAAGCAACAAUUUUCCAUCUCGAAUGCAUCUCGACGGACAUGUAGGAAACAAUAGUACAGAAAUCUGCAAAAAAUUGCAAACUUUUUCAGGAAAUAUAUACAUCGUACCGAACUGACCGUGACCGUGAAUACUUUUCUUUCGUACCUGCAUUUUCCAACUCCAUCUCUGUGAACUAUCUAUCAGAACAUGACAUUUCCACAACACUGAAAAACUUCGACGCCUCAGAGGGGGCUGAACCUGACAGUAUACCACCAAUAUUCUUAAAAAAUCUAGCUGAAGAAUUCACACUACCACUACAACUACUUAUUAACUAAUCACUUAAUAAAUGUUCUUUUCCAAAAGCAUGGAAAUCUUCUUUUCUUGUACCAAUAUUUAAAUCUAAUUCAAAAUCUAACAUUCGGAACUACCGUGGAAUAGCCAUUAUCUCUUGCAUUCCAAAAUUGUUUGAAAAGAUUGUAAACGAAAAACUUUUCAAACAACUGAAGAACGUAAUAACUAACAAACAGCAUGGCUUUUCCAAAGGCCGCUCAACUACAACAAAUCUCCUUGAAUUUGUGACAUUCACUCUGAACGCAAUGUACGCUGGCAACCACGCUUUCGACCGUACUGACAGACCAUUACUACUAUACGAACUACAAAAAUAUGGCAUAGAACAUAGCCUUCUGGAGUGGCUUGAAUUAUACUUAACGAAUCGUGUACAAGUAGUUCGCUUCCAAAACAUAAACUCUGAACCAAUUAAUGUAACAUGUGGCGUACCUCAGGGUUCUCACCUAAGCCCUCUUCUUUUCGUUUUAAAUAUAAACAACAUUUCCUUCACACUCAAAAAUUUAAAAGUGCUUAUUUAUGCAGGCGACAUGAAACUCCUCAUGGAAAUUAAAAAUAUCAACGACGCUGUAAUAUUCCAGAACGAAAUCAAUCUAUUCCACAUUUGGUGCUGCAAAAGUCUACUUCAACUCAAUGUAAAAAAAUGCAACUCAAUAACUUUCAGUAGGAAAAACGAAACCCAUUCUGUAGACAUAUUUUUAGGAAAUCAAAUAGUAGCAAAAAGUAAAAUUGUACGAGAUUUAGGUGUAACCAUGGACUCCAAACUAACAUUUGUGGAACAUUAUAACACAAUUAUCUAUGAAGCAAACAGUAUGCUGGGCUUUAUCAAAAACACUUCAGUCAUAAUUUCUAAGACCCAUAUACUAUAAAAUUGCUAUAUAGUACAUAUGUCAGAUCCAUCUUGGAAUAUUGCAGCCUAGUAUGGAAUCCAUAUAACAUUAUUCACGAAAAACGCUUUGAAUCUAUACAAAAACAAUUUCUUUUAUAUGCACUUCGUAAAUUAAACUGGACAGCAUUUCCUCUACCAUCAUAUGAACAUGCAUGCUCAUCAAUACACAAAUACUUAAAGAACGCCGCGACUUUGCAAUGCUUUAUUUUAUCAGCGACAAUAUUUCUCAACGCAUUCAAUCAGCUCCAUUAUUAUCGCAAUUAAAUUUUCAUAUACCUAGCCGUCAACUACGUUCCAGGAAAUUAUUUUUAGAAAAACAAAAGCAAAGCCUUGGUAUUACAUUCCUGUAGUGGAAUUUGACCUUCUGUUUCAACAGACUUCGCAGCCGAUUCAGAGUGUACAGAGCCAUUGCAUGGCUAGUGCUACGAUUCUACUGACACUGCGAAUCUCUCCAGGUCGGGGCUCGAACAUACGACAACUGAUUUGUAAGACCAACGCCCUAAGCAUUGAACCGUCAACCCGGGACGAAAUAAAAAUAAAAACAAGCAAGAACAAAUUAUGUAAAAUACAGUCCAGUCAAUCGAAUAAUGCGCCAUUACAAUCAAUACUGCGAACAUCUUGACCUUGCUAUGUCAAAAAAUCAAAUAAAAUCUCAGCU